rnacentral:tRNA from 1 species
GUCGCGAUCAGAAAGGUAUCUAUCCGGACUAUGCAUCCGGAAAGCGCUGGUUCGAUCCCAGCUCGUGACA